rnacentral:lncRNA from 1 species
ACUUUUAGACGGAGCCAAGGCUGCCUGUUUCCCUGUUUCCAGUCUUUAUGCUCAGCUCAUAGAUAGAGAGCAAAUUUCCCAAAAAUGUUGGUCUAUUUCUUAAAGGAAAUCACCAAAUAGGAUACAACAUGUCAAUGUUAGGGUGUUUGGGCAUUACAGCAGUCCUUUUGAGAUGCUUUGUUUUAUAGCACUUUGUUGAUUUAGUCAGACACAGGUUGCACAAUUAUUAUUAUAAUUGUUCCUCAUUUGUAUUGUGAAUUGUGCGGUUAAUACACACAGCUAUACUCAUUAUUCUAAUUGUUGUUAUAUCUUGGCCUGUUUAAACCACUGUUGUCUGGCUGUAUCAAGCAGUGUCUGCCUGUCUUAAUAGGAACUAGUUACCAAGAUAUCGUUGCAGCGAGCCACCACAGAGCAGCUCCUCACUGAGUUGACCCAGCAAGAGGAACUGGCCAAGCAGGAGGCCAACACCCUGACGGAACUGGAGCUGCAGUUUGAUAAGCUGAAGGGGGAAAGGCAGGCAGCGCUGAAUCAGGAAGUGUGCCGUGUUGAAGCACUGCAGGCCGAGCUGCAGCAGUGUCAGGACCUGCUGAACACUGUGGAGCAGGGGGUCGACAACGUCUACCUCAGGAUGAGCUGCGUUCCUGUGGAGGUCCUCUGUAACCUGAAAUGUUUUAGAAUGUCUUUAAAGGACACAUUCUGAUGUUCCAUCUUAAAACAGUGUUCACAUGGCACAUGUGAUCCUUCCUCCUCUCCAUGCUACAUACUACUACACAAGCUACAUAAUAUGUCCAUACAAUACAUACUAAUUGUCAUAGUAGUAUAAAUCUAAAUACUGAAAUAAAUGAUCCAAUAUUUGAUACAAACUGCAAAUUAAAUGCCAUUUAAACGUCA